ensembl:lncRNA
UGCUAAAAACUGACAAUAAAGCUGACACUGACGUUGAUGUGUAGAAAAUUCUAAACGGUUGACACACUUUUAAACACCGCUGUAUGUGUGUCUGUUUCUGCCUUUAGGAGCCCCAUAACAAGCCAGAGACUGAGAGAGCUGAGCAGCACAGAGCUGAGUGUGUGUGUGUGUGUGUGUGUGUGUGUGUGUGCAUCUUUAAAAAUAAAAGAAGUUUGCUGAAAAGCGAAAGGGAAAUAAAGAGAAUAAAGAGUCUUGUGAGUUGUAAGCCUGCCUCCCAUUUCCUCAUGUCCUUCUGAACCAAAAAGGGAAUUGUUACUCUGAUGAUGAAACCCAGGAAUUGAGGAGGAUUGGCGGUCAUGGAGUCCUCGCCAGAUGGGACCGCAGCACGACCCAGAGGCAUUUGUUGAGUUGUUUGAGUGUGCAGCAGAAGCUUGGAGCUGGCCAGAGUCACAGUGGGCAGUUCAGCUGCUGCUGCUACUGUCGGGGGAAGGCCACACCCACAAACAGCACCGUCAGCUCACUGCUCAUUCAGAGAGCUCUGCCACCGAUUAGCAUUCACCCAGCAGCACCGGGACACCUGCUGAAGAUGGCUGCUGGCAGAGGAGCACGGCGCUGUGGAUGUGUUGGAGCAGUUCUUCUCCCAACUACUGCAGGGGACAGCCGAGUGGGUCCAGUACCACUGUCCGGUGUCGCUAGAUGAGGAGAUCCAGUGGGCGGAGCUCCAUUUGACGCGCUCUCGUCUGACCUCGCUGAGCUGAAUGAGGAGCUCAAGAGGUUUCAGAAGCUGCAGCCUUCGUCCACGACCUGCUGCAGGGUGUCAGAAUCUUUCCAAGCCAACAGAGGACUGUUGUGGUUACAGGAAGGAUAAUGGGUCUGAGAAGUUCAUUAAAAUGCCCGUCUUUGUAGCACACAUUUCAUCACAGCCGCCUAGUUAACAAUCCGUGAACUUUGUGUGCUAAAUAAGAAUUUGACAGGCUUAACUUGUUAGUUUGCUACACGCCUAAUUAAUAUCGCUUUAACAAACUUACGUAGCUCGCUUAAAUCUAUUGAUCUAGAUCGAGAAACUAGCUAGCUAACACUAAAUAGCUUAGAAUAACACAUUCUUACUGAGGAGUUGCAUAGAGUAGACAUGUUUCUCUACCUUAAAGUUAACUAGCUUAACUGUUUCAGCUAACAGAUGAGUUCAUGGCAUUUGUUAUGGCACUUUUUGAUUUUCAAUGCCAUGCCAUCCUUGAAGUUCAUAAAACAUUACAUCUUGAACAUUUAUGCCUAGUCUCUUCAGGUUUUUCUGCAACCAGGUUGGCCAUGCACGUCUUUUGGUUUACAAACAAUGAAGGGGUUUAUUUAAGACUGUAGUAAACAAUCUGGAACACAGCCAUACUUACACUGGGUUUUUAAAUAAUAAUAAUAAUUAUUUUUUAUAAUGACUGGCAGUAGAUUGACUUAAAUGAGGACUCUUAGUGAUGGCAUUUGACCAAUCUUUGACCAAUCCAAGUAUUUUUACUAGCGCCAUCCUAUUAGUCCCUAAUUGCUUCUCUUGGUACUCUGCAAUAAGAGGAAUUGAAUUUAACACUUAACAAUGUGGUGUUAUGGAUUUCUCACCAUGCAUUACCAGAAUGUCUGGUGGAACAGCACUGAUAGAGACCUAUGCUGUGUGUGAAACCACUCACUCGUUCACUCUUCCCUAUAUAGCGAAAGACAUUUGAGUCCACUAUAUGGGGAAGAAGUGAAGGAAAAUGAGUGGCGAAUUCGGACGCUGAUAAUGCGUACAUAAUGAUAACUCUGUCUCGGACAUUAUGGAUUGUAUUAAAACAAUAAAGUUUAUUUUCUCACGGUUCAUUUGUCAAGUUUAUUGUAUUAGUUGAUAAAGAGAACAAAAACAAAUGCUUG